GACUUAGUUAAACGGCCGCGGUAUUUUGACCGUGCAAAGGUAGCAUAAUCAUUUGCCUUUUAAAUGGGGGCUGGUAUGAAUGGCAAGACGGAAAUUAGACUGUCUCUUUCUUUUUUUUUGAAUUUGAUCUUUCUGUGAAGAAGCAGGAAUGUAGUCGUGGGACGAGAAGACCCUGUCGAGCUUUAAUGGGCCUGGGUAGGCGAUUGAAGUUGCUUACUUGCUAAUUUAUUCGUUGAUAAGGAUGAGUGGUAUUACUUGUGUUUGUGGCGACGUUUUAUGUAGGCCGUUUUGGUUGGGGCAACCGCGGAGAAUAUGUAUCCUCCGCUGGGUUCGAUAAGUAAAAUGAUGGUUUUCUUACUUGUUAUGUUUGUGUGAUCCGCUGUUUGGGCGAGCAAAAGAACAAGUUACCGCAGGGAUAACAGCGUAAUUCUUUUAGAGAGUUCAUAUUGAUAAGGGAGUUUGCGACCUCGAUGUUGGAUCGGGAUUUCCUGGGGGUGCAGCAGCUCCCGAGGGUUGGUCUGUUCGACCAUUAAAAUCCU
rnacentral:rRNA from 1 species